rnacentral:rRNA from 1 species
UUCAUGAAAUUGAAAUAAUAGUAAAGAUGCUAUUUAAUAUUGUAAGACGAAAAGACCCUAUAGAGCUUAACUACAGACUUUUUUUUUUAACCAAAGAAUAAAUUCUAAAUAAAAGAAAGUUAGGUAGUUUAGUUGGGGCGACUAUCUUCUAAAAAUAACGAAGACAAGCAAAUAUUAAUAAUUAAUUUAUUGUAUAAUUAAUAUAUUUAACAAUUACAAAAGUAGGCUAUAAUGACCCGUUAAAAUUUAAAAAUAAAUAUAACGAUUAAUAAAUAAAAGCUACCUUAGGGAUAACAGGAUAAUUUUGUUUUAGAGAUCUUAUCGAAAACAAAGUUUGUCA